rnacentral:rRNA from 1 species
GGUCAAGUUAUUAAGGGUGCAGGGCGGAUGCCUUGGCACUAGGAGCCGAUGAAGGACGUGAUAAGCUGCGAUAAGCUUCGGGGAGUUGCACGUAAACUUUGAUCCGAAGAUUUCCGAAUGAGGAAACUCACUUAGAGUAAUGUCUAAGUAUCAUUAAGUGAAUACAUAGCUUAAUGAGGGGAACUCAGGGAACUGAAACAUCUAAGUACCUGAAGGAAGAGAAAGAAAUUCGAUUCCGUAAGUAGCGGCGAGCGAACGCGGAUUAGCCCAAACCAAUAAAGUUUUCUUUAUUGGGGUUGCGGACAUAUCAUAACGAAGAGGUAUCGUAAUUGAAGAGGUUUGGAAAGACCCACCACAGAAGGUAAUAGUCCUGUAUGUUAAACGAGAAGAC